GAUGAAGAACGCAGCGAAAUGCGAUAAGUAAUGUGAAUUGCAGAAUUCAGUGAAUCAUCGAAUCUUUGAACGCACAUUGCGCCCGCCAGUAUUCUGGCGAGCAUGCCUGUUCGAGGGUCAUUUCAACCAUCAAGCCCCAGGCUUGUGUUGGAGCCCUGCGGCUGCCGCAGCCUCCCAAAACCAGUGGCGGGCUCGCUAUCACACCGAGUGCAGUAGUUUACUCUUCGCUCAGGGCGUGUGGCGGGUGCUAGCCGUGAAACCCCCAACUUCUCAAGGUUGACCUCGGAUCAGGUAGGAAUACCCGCUGAACUUAAGCAUAUCAAUAAGCGGAGGA
rnacentral:misc_RNA from 1 species